UACGGAGGGUCCAAGCGUUAUCCGGAAUCAUUGGGUUUAAAGGGUCCGUAGGCGGUUUUGUAAGUCAGUGGUGAAAGCCCAUCGCUCAACGGUGGAACGGCCAUUGAUACUGCAAGACUUGAAUUAUUGGGAAGCAACUAGAAUAUGUAAGUGUAGCGGUGAAAUGCUUAGAGAUUACGAUGGAAUUACCAAUUGCGAAGGCAGGUUGCU
rnacentral:rRNA from 1 species